CAAGUCGAACGGAGUUUUAACGGAAGUUUCGGAUGGAAGUUAGAAACUAGUGGCGGACGGGUGAGUAACGCGUGGGUAACCUGCCUCAUACAGGGGGAUAACAGUUAGAAAUGACUGCUAACACCGCAUAAUAUAGCGAAACCGCAUGAUUUUGCUAUCAAAUAUUUAUAGGUAUGAGAUGGGCCCGCGUCUGAUUAGCUAGUUGGUGGGGUAAAAGCCUACCAAGGCGACGAUCAGUAGCCGGCUUGAGAGAGUGACCGGCCACAUUGGGACUGAGACACGGCCCAAACUCCUACGGGAGGCAGCAGUGGGGAAUAUUGGACAAUGGGGGAAACCCUGAUCCAGCGAACCGCCGCGUGAGUGAAGAAGUAUUUCGGUAUGUAAAGCUCUAUCAGCAGGGAAGAUAAUGACAGUACCUGACUAAGAAGCCCCGGCUAACUACGUGCCAGCAGCCGC
rnacentral:rRNA from 1 species